CUAUUUCUUUAUCUGGACCCUCACCAAUUGUUCCUGUGGAAUAAUUGUUAUUAAAAUAGAUUUUAUUUCUCAUCUUUGUGGUGAAAUCCUUAUAGAUUGUAAGCUUGUUUCAACGGGGCCUUCUUUAUCUCUUGUCUCUGUUAAUAACUGUAUGUCAAUUACUUACAUAGCUACAUAGGCUGAAAAGAGACAUGUGUCAAUCAAUUUCAGCCCUUCUUACAUAUGUUUUUGCUGUUGAUCCAAAAGAAAGCUAUAAUCCCAGUUUGAAGCAUAUCAAUGUACGGAUAGG